ACCAAAGUGCGGCAUAGCGGGUAACGCCCGUCCGCCGUGAGGCGAGGACCAGUGCAACAGAAAGCAAGUACAGUUCGGCUGUAGUGAAAUCGGCAAACUCUAUGCGGUGAAACGUCAUGUAAACCAACGUACCGAUAGUUAUUGGGAGAGGGCUGCACGCCCGAGUUGGAGGGUAGGCGGUUGGAACACUUGGGCAACCAUUUGUCUAGAUAAAUGAUAAGGGUAUACAGAAUCCGGCUUAU
rnacentral:RNase_P_RNA from 1 species